rnacentral:rRNA from 1 species
AUAAGCGCACACGGUGGAUGCCUAGGCGGUCAGAGGCGAUGAAGGACGUGGUAGCCUGCGAAAAGUGUCGGGGGGCUGGCAACAAGCUUUGAUCCGGCAAUAUCCGAAUGGGGAAACCCACUGCUUCGGCAGUAUCCUGCAGUGAAUUCAUAGCUGCUGGAAGCGAACCCGGUGAACUGAAAUAUCUAAGUAACCGGAGGAAAAGAAAUCAACCGAGAUUCCCUAAGUAGUGACGAGCGAACGGGGAACAGCCCUUAAGCUGGAAUGGCUUUAGAAAAACAAUCUGGAAAGAUUGGCCAUAGAAGGUGAUAGCCCUGUAUUUAAAAGGGCCACUCCAGUGAAGACGAGUAGGGCGGGGCACGUGAAACCCUGUCUGAAUAUGGGGGGACCAUCCUCCAAGGCUAAAUACUCCUGACCGACCGAUAGUGAACCAGUACCGUGAGGGAAAGGCGAAAAGAACCCCGGAGAGGGGAGUGAAAUAGAUCCUGAAACCGUGUGCGUACAAGCAGUAGGAGCUCGCAAGAGUGACUGCGUACCUUUUGUAUAAUGGGUCAGCGACUUACUGUUCGUGGCAAGCUUAACCGUAUAGGGGAGGCGAAGGGAAACCGAGUCUGAUAAGGGCGCAUAGUCGCGGGCAGUAGACCCGAAACCGGGUGAUCUAGUCAUGGCCAGGGUGAAGGUGCCGUAACAGGUACUGGAGGCCCGAACCCACGUCUGUUGCAAAAGACGGGGAUGAGCUGUGAUUAGGAGUGAAAAGCUAAUCGAACCCGGAGAUAGCUGGUUCUCCUCGAAAGCUAUUUAGGUAGCGCCUCGGACGAAUACUACUGGGGGUAGAGCACUGUUAUGGCUAGGGGGUCAUCGCGACUUACCAAACCAUUGCAAACUCCGAAUACCAGUACGUACUAUCCGGGAGACACACGGCGGGNCACUGUUAUGGCUAGGGGGUCAUCGCGACUUACCAAACCAUUGCAAACUCCGAAUACCAGUACGUACUAUCCGGGAGACACACGGCGGGUGCUAACGUCCGUCGUGAAAAGGGAAACAACCCAGACCCACAGCUAAGGUCCCAAAUUCACUGCUAAGUGGAAAACGAUGUGGAAAGGCAUAGACAGCCAGGAGGUUGGCUUAGAAGCAGCCACCCUUUAAAGAAAGCGUAAUAGCUCACUGGUCGAGUCGGUCUGCGCGGAAGAUUUAACGGGGCUAAGCAGUGAACCGAAGCUUGGGGUGCGUAAAACUUCGGUUUUAUGCGCGGUAGAGGAGCGUUCCGUAAGCCUGCGAAGGUGGAUUGAGAAGUCCGCUGGAGGUAUCGGAAGUGCGAAUGCUGACAUGAGUAACGAUAAUGCGGGUGAAAACCCCGCACGCCGAAAGCCCAAGGUUUCCUUGCGCAACGUUAAUCGACGCAGGGUUAGUCGGUCCCUAAGGCGAGGGCGAAAGCCGUAGUCGAUGGGAAGCAGGUUAAUAUUCCUGCACCUCGCGUGAGUGCGAUGGAGGGACGGAGAAGGUUAGGUGUACCGGGCGUUGGUUGUCCCGGGGAAAGGCGGUAGGUUUGGAUCUUUGGCAAAUCCGGGAUCCUUUAAGACCGAGCACCGAGACGAGCCUUUAUGGCAAAGUCACUGAUACCACGCUUCCAGGAAAAGCUCCUAAGCUUCAGCUCACGAAGACCGUACCGUAAACCGACACAGGUGGGUAGGAUGAGAAUUCUCAGGCGCUUGAGAGAACUCGGGUGAAGGAACUAGGCAACAUGGCACCGUAACUUCGGGAGAAGGUGCACCCUUUUUGGUGGCUCAUGCGAGCUAUAGCUGAAGAGGGUCGCAGAAACCAGGCCGCUGCGACUGUUUAUCAAAAACACAGCACUCUGCAAACACGAAAGUGGACGUAUAGGGUGUGACGCCUGCCCGGUGCUGGAAGGUUAAUUGAUGGGGUCAGCCGCAAGGCGAAGCUCUUGAUCGAAGCCCCAGUAAACGGCGGCCGUAACUAUAACGGUCCUAAGGUAGCGAAAUUCCUUGUCGGGUAAGUUCCGACCUGCACGAAUGGCGUAACGACAGCGGCGCUGUCUCCACCCGAGACUCAGUGAAAUUGAAAUCGCUGUGAAGAUGCAGCGUUCCCGUGGCAAGACGGAAAGACCCCGUGAACCUUUACUAUAGCUUUACACUGAACGUUGAGUUCGUCUGUGUAGGAUAGGUGGGAGGCUAUGAAACUGUGGCGCUAGCUGCAGUGGAGCCAUCCUUGAAAUACCACCCUGUCGUGCUUGACGUUCUAACCUAGAUCCGUUAUCCGGAUCAGGGACCGUGUAUGGUGGGUAGUUUGACUGGGGCGGUCUCCUCCUAAAGAGUAACGGAGGAGCACGAAGGUACGCUCAGCGCGGUCGGACAUCGCGCACUGUGUGCAAAGGCAUAAGCGUGCUUGACUGCAAGAUCGACGGAUCAAGCAGGUACGAAAGUAGGUCUUAGUGAUCCGGUGGUUCUGUAUGGAAGGGCCAUCGCUCAACGGAUAAAAGGUACUCCGGGGAUAACAGGCUGAUACCGCCCAAGAGUUCAUAUCGACGGCGGUGUUUGGCACCUCGAUGUCGGCUCAUCACAUCCUGGGGCUGUAGUCGGUCCCAAGGGUAUGGCUGUUCGCCAUUUAAAGUGGUACGCGAGCUGGGUUCAGAACGUCGUGAGACAGUUCGGUCCCUAUCUGCCAUGGGCGUUGGAAGUUUGAGAGGGGCUGCUCCUAGUACGAGAGGACCGGAGUGGACGAACCUCUGGUGUUCCGGUUGUCACGCCAGUGGCAUUGCCGGGUAGCUAUGUUCGGAAGCGAUAACCGCUGAAAGCAUCUAAGCGGGAAGCGCGCCUCAAGAUGAGACUUCCCGGGGCACAAGCCCCCUAAAGGAACCAUAUAGACUAUGUGGUUGAUAGGUCAGGUGUGUAAGUACAGUAAUGUAUUGAGCUAACUGAUACUAAUGAUCCGUGCGGCUUGACC